CCCAGGCACGGUGCAAUUUAAUCAAACAUGAAUCGCUGUGAUUUGUUGUGUUUAAUUAGCAUUAGCAUUUAUUCCCCGUAUGUGAGCUCAGAUCCCACUGUUGUCCAGCGUCAGAAGGUCCUUGAGAUCAGUGCGGGUGAUGCUAUAACUUUGGAAUGUAGUUUGCAAGGGGCACGGAUGUCCAGCUACCGGAUGUUCUGGUACAGAAUGGGAAGGGAGAAGCUUGAAUGGAUAUACCGAAACACUGAUCGUUACGGCGAAGGAUUUAGAGAUCGUUUCGUAGGAGAAGUUAAAGAGUCAGAGAAUAAAUGCACCCUUCGUGUUUCCAGAGCAGAGCUGAGCGACGCAUCUGUCUAUUACUGUGGUGCUUGGUACCACAGCGUUACUGUGCUGUUAGACAAUAUGACCAAAAUAACUACAAGUUCAGUCAAAACAUUAUGAACUCUGCAGCACUCAGCUUUUCAAUGCGUAUUCCAAAGCCUUUGCAGAAUGAAUAAUGACCGUCUGAGGAAAAUAACACAUGGCCUGCCUGCCAUCACAUAGGGUAUGUUUGUGAUUUUGGUACCUCCCUGAAAGUAACAUGAUAAACAGUAUGCCGCCAGAAAAACACACUUAGUUUGACUCGCACUUAGGCUACGCUAACAUUAUUCAUACAAUAAAGGGAAUUAAUGCUUUUA